rnacentral:rRNA from 1 species
AGGAAGGUAGUGUAGUUAACACCUGCAUUAUUUGACGUUACCUACAGAAGAAGCACCGGCUAACUCCGUGCCAGCAGCCGCGGUAAUACGGAGGGUGCGAGCGUUAAUCGGAAUUACUGGGCGUAAAGACGCAUGCAGGCGGCCUGUUAAGUCAGAUGUGAAAGACCCGGGGCGUUAACCUCCGGAAUUGCAUUUGUAAACUAGGCAGGCUAGAGUCUUGUAGAGGGGGGUAGGAAUUUCAGGUGUAGCGGUGAAAUGCGUAGAGAUCUGAAGGAAUACCAGUGGCGAAGGCGGCCCCCUCGGACAAAGACUGACGCUCAGAUGCGAAAGCGUGGGGAGCAAACAGGAUUAGAUACCCUGGUAG